rnacentral:lncRNA from 1 species
CGCAAAGAUGAGUAUUGAAUUUAACAUAUUGUCUAUAAUAUAUAUCCUAUUGUUAUGAAACUUUGCAAGCAGUGUUAUAAUUAAUUAAGCUUUGGUCAUACCAAGUUUUUUUAAGAUUUGUCAACUCUUUCUAUCCUAUUAGGUCCGAGACCACAAUUGUCGUCCCUUGAUUUUCGUUGUUCACGAAUAUAGUCCCUAGUGUUAACAGUGGGUUACUUGCCAAUAAUUUUUAUACCCCUUCCAAAUUUAUUUCUCCAUGUUUAAUGCCUCAAAUUGUAAGUAGGGGGGUGAAAUUACACUGUAAAAAAAUUUGGGUCCAGAAUUUUAC